GACGAACGCUGGCGGCGUGCUUAACACAUGCAAGUCGAACGAAGUGGCGAACGGGUGAGUAACGCGUAAUCAACCUGCCCUUCAGCGGGGGACACCAGUUGGAAACGACUGCUAAUACCGCAUACUGAGGGAGGGGAUUGCGUCUGAUUCGCUAGUUGGAGGGGUAACGGACCACCCAGGCGAUGAUCAGGAGCCGGUCUGAGAGGAUGAACGGGCACAGUGGGACUGAGACACGGCCCAGACUCCUACGGGAGACAGAAGUGUGGAUGCUUCCGCAAUGGACGAAAGUCUGACGGAGCAACGCCGCGUGAGUGAUGACGGCCUUCGGGUUGUAAAGCUCUGUUAAUCGGGACGCGGUACCGGAAUAGAAAGCCACGGCUAACUACGUGCCAGCAGCCGCGGUAAUUC
rnacentral:rRNA from 1 species